GGAGGUUCUUGGGUGACACACCCGGAACCAGAGAGGAGGGAGCCUGAUUCCAGGGUGCAUCACCCGAGAACCACC
rfam:Myotis davidii contig191041, whole genome shotgun sequence.